rnacentral:vault_RNA from 1 species
ACGCUGGUUUAGCUCAGUGGUUACUUCAAUCGAAACUCGUGUUUCACGGUCCGCGGGCCUGAAGUACCGACCACGGGCGCUGUCCAGCGUUUUU